GUGUGCAGCAGCCGGCGGCGGAGCAGUGACGCGGCAUCUGGGAAAGAGGCGGGAGUUAAGUCGCAAGCGGCUCUCCGGGCAUCCGGAGGAGCCUCGCGCCUCCAGCCGCCGCUCCUCCCCAAGGGGCUCUGGCCUGUCGGGUCCCCCCCGGCCCGUUGUCGCCCCAACCCCGUCCCAGCCGAUUCUCUUGACUUCUGUCAGCGGCACUCACGCUCUGGCCAUUGCUGCGCCGCCGAAGUCUCGCGAGGGGUAGCGCGCGCCGGAAGUUGGUACCAUAGAGACUGGAGAGCCGGAGGUGCCCCCGCCACCGGGGCGGGGCGGGGCGAGGUCCUAGCUAGCUGGGUUAGUAAGCGGCGCGAGCGUGCGAGUUUCUGACGCGCCCGCGUCGUCCCAGCUCCCUGGACUACCAGUAUUGUCGCCCACGUGGGCUUCUCUUUCGUCCGCUCAGGCCUCACUUUUCUCCGUAAACACCCCGGCACGAUGGAGCGGCCCCAGCGUUCGGGAGCGGCCCGGGAGCGGAAAGCGGCAGUGUCCUGGGAGCCUCGAAAGCCGCAGGGGCGGCAGCUCGCCUCGGAAUGACCUCUGACGGAAGAAAUAAAACGGGGCCUGGGACGCUUGCACGAAAGAACCCGACAAAAACCAGAGCCCGCACUCACUCUCGUACUGGGGAGGUGGACUUCAGGGAGGGUUAUCUGGAGGAGGAAUCUCUCAAAGUACAACACAGGAGAAAGACAGUAUCGCAAUACAGAAAUUUUAUUUUUUAUUUUAUUAUUAUUUUCCUGAGACCGGAGUCUCGCUCUGUCGCCCAGGCUGGAGUGCAGUGGCGCGAUCUCGGCUCACUGCAAACUCCGCCUCCCGGGUUCACGCCAUUCGGCUGCCUCACCCUCCACAGUAGCUGGGACUACAAGCGCCCGCCACCACGCCCGGCUAAUUUGCAAUACGGAAAUUUUAAUAGUCCACCGAGAGCCGCUUCAUGAGCAGAGACACGAACCCAGAGCCAGUGCCGCCCCCAAAGCUGUGGAAGAUGAGGAAGCCCUGCAGUCCCAUGCACAGAUCUGCCUGAGAGAAACCAGACAACGUAAGCCAAUGCCCGUGGGAGCCACACCACCAACCUCCACCAAGCCGGGGCCACUUCUCUUUGCCUCUGAGAGUUGAUACGGAUUCAGACCAUCCAUAAUGAACACGCAUCACACUUUGAAGCAGAGAAAAGCAGACAAUACAGAUCUAUGCACAAAUCACCACGCACACUUCACAGUAAGACGUUGCAGAGGUCUAGGAAGGCUGGUUUGAAGAAAUACACAGAAGAAAAACGGAUGGACUAACCAGAGCGCUCAGCCAGCCUGCUGGACUGGCACCCGUGGCUACAGACACUCUUGUUUAGCACCAUGGAGAGCUCCCUGCACAGAAGCAAGGACUCAGGGCAUUGCCCCCUCUCUACCUGAGAACUAGACUCAGCGCCCAGCACUGGAUUUGAUAAUACAGGUACUCAAAUACAUGUGCUUUCCUCUUUACUCAGACACUUCUAGGGCUGGCAGGGUCAGACAGUAAUCCCCCACUUUGUGGGGAGGCCCUGUUUUUGCUGAACAGCUCAAGGGCAGGAAGAUUCUUUCUUCCACACACCCCUGCAACUGCCAAUACUUGUUCUGUGUGACCCUUGCAGCCAUCCUAUGCGGUAGGUGCUACCAUUGCCAUGGAUCAAGUGGGGACGCACAGAUCCAAGCUCCUUCACCU
rnacentral:lncRNA from 1 species